GUAGGGAAUAUUGGGCAAUGGAUGCAAGUCUGAUCCAGCCAUGCCGCGUGUGUGAAGAAGGCCUUUUGGUUGUAAAGCACUUUAAGCGAGGAGGAGGCUACCGAGAUUAAUACUCUUGGAUAGUGGACGUUACUCGCAGAAUAAGCACCGGCUAACUCUGUGCCAGCAGCCGCGGUAAUACAGAGGGUGCAAGCGUUAAUCGGAUUUACUGGGCGUAAAGCGCGCGUAGGUGGCCAAUUAAGUCAAAUGUGAAAUCCCCGAGCUUAACUUGGGAAUUGCAUUCGAUACUGGUUGGCUAGAGUAUGGGAGAGGAUGGUAGAAUUCCAGGUGUAGCGGUGAAAUGCGUAGAGAUCUGGAGGAAUACCGAUGGCGAAGGCAGCCAUCUGGCCUAAUACUGACACUGAGGUGCGAAAGCAUGGGGAGCAAACAGGAUUAGAAACCCCUGUAGUCC
rnacentral:rRNA from 1 species